AAAUUGAAGAGUUUGAUCAUGGCUCAGAUUGAACGCUGGCGGCAGGCCUAACACAUGCAAGUCGAACGGUAACAGGAAGCAGCUUGCUGCUUUGCUGACGAGUGGCGGACGGGUGAGUAAUGUCUGGGAAACUGCCUGAUGGAGGGGGAUAACUACUGGAAACGGUGGCUAAUACCGCAUAACGUCGCAAGACCAAAGAGGGGGACCUUCGGGCCUCUUGCCAUCAGAUGUGCCCAGAUGGGAUUAGCUUGUUGGUGAGGUAACGGCUCACCAAGGCGACGAUCCCUAGCUGGUCUGAGAGGAUGACCAGCCACACUGGAACUGAGACACGGUCCAGACUCCUACGGGAGGCAGCAGUGGGGAAUAUUGCACAAUGGGCGCAAGCCUGAUGCAGCCAUGCCGCGUGUAUGAAGAAGGCCUUAGGGUUGUAAAGUACUUUCAGCGGGGAGGAAGGUGUUGCGGUUAAUAACCGCAGCAAUUGACGUUACCCGCAGAAGA
rnacentral:rRNA from 1 species